rnacentral:rRNA from 1 species
GAUGAACGCUGACAGCAUGCCUAACACAUGCAAGUCCACCUGUUGCGGACGGGUGAGUAACGCGUAAAGAAGUUGCCUCUCGGAUAGGGACAACCUUAGGAAACGAAAGCUAAUACCUGAUACAGUGAGAGAGCUUUGCGUCCCAUUAGCUAGUAGGGGAGGUAACGGCUCACGAAGGCGAGGAUGGGUAGCCGGCCUGAGAGGUAGAUCGGCCACAAGGGGACUGAGGCACGGCCCUUAGGUGUACGGGAGGAAGCGGUGGAGACUAGUGGCAGAUGUGCCAAAGUCUGAUCAAGCAAUUCGGUGUGUAAAAUGAGGUUUUCGGGAUGAAAAGAGUAUUCAGUUUGGAAGCGGUACCAACAGAAGAAGUAACGGCUAAAUACGUGCCAGCCGCCGCGGUAAUAC